rnacentral:lncRNA from 1 species
CAACACCACCCCAAUGGGUGUUGCUGGGCAGCUUCAAUGUGGUGCUCUUAUUCUUCUCACUUUGCUUGGUGAGGUAGAUUGCUGCUAUAACUUGAUGACCCUUCACAUACCUAACCAUUUCCUUGGCUCUCUUGUAGAGUGUAUCCAUUGUUUUCAGUGCCAUGAUGUUCUUGAGCAGAUUCAAUGCAUGAGCAGCACAGCCAAUGGGUGUGACAUGAGGGUAGGACUCCUCCACUUUAGACCAAGCAGCCUUCAUGUUCGCAACAUUCUGUCUCCAGUGCAAAUACCUUCUGUGGUCCAAGGUCAUUGAUGACUGCCUUCAGCUCAUCUGCAAUGUAGAGACCGGUGUGUAUGUUGUCCCUUGUGUCUGUGCUCUUGUAGAAUACUGGUUGAGGGGUGGAGAUGUAGUUAAUUAUUACUUGCCCAUGUAACAUUUGACCACCCAUCCAAGAUGAUUGCAAUACAGCCUGCUUUCUUUAUGAUUUGUUUGACCUUCACUUGAACUCUGUUGAACUCUGCAUCCAGCAAAUGAGUAGAUAAAGCAUGUCUGGUUGGAGUGGUGUAUAUGGGGCGAAGAACAUUCAGACAUCUCUUCCAAUACACAUUGCCUGUGAGCAUCAGAGGUGAACCAGUUGCAUACACAGCUCAAGCAAGACAUUCAUCAGCAUUUUUCUGACUAUGUUCCUCCAUUGAGUCAAAAAAACUUUGAUUCCAGGAGGACCAUGAGCUGUUGCGAUCAAUGAGGUGUCUGAUUCAUCAUUUUCACCUUGAAUAGAACUAGUUAACAAAAAAUGAUGUAUGACAUAAAAUAUAUUCACCCCACCCAGUAUUGAAAUCAAAACUUACCAGAAAGCAUGUUGUCCUCGGCUCAGACAGUGUAGUAGUGUGGGCUCAAUAGCAUCUCAUUAGUGUGCAAGAUCUUGAGAAUCAGCUGUACAUGUGAUGGACGAGUGUACUGUACAUGUGAUGGAAGAAUGCACUGUGCAUGCAGAGGGUUGUAAUUCCAUUGAAUUGGGGAUAGUUUAACCAAAAUAUGCCACAAAACCUAGAAUUGCCUUGUGUAUCCCACAAAAAAGGUUCACUAUAAUAAGCUAACCUUUUUGAUUAAUUUAAGCAAAAUUCCCCAAAUUCCAGGGCUUACAUUCCCAUGAAAAAUGUUCUGAAAAAUUCCGGAAAUUUACCCCGGAAGGUUUCCGACCCUUUGCAACACUAGUCUCAACUAACCCCACGACCAUUGGCUCAACUUACCCCAAGGCAAACAUUUUGCCUAUAUUAGCCAACACAGCAACAAGGACGCACUUUCCUGCUAGGUUUAGUACCUCAUAUUGAAGCUUAUAAGACCCCAACUGAUAUAUAGCACAAUCUUCUUUGGUUUAGAUACAAGCAUUAUGAAAUUCGUUUGACAUGGUGAAAAUCACAGAAUAUAUUAGGUGACUUGCAGAAUGUAAACAGGUCUACCUUUGACCUAUUGGCAGGUCACCAAUGCAACUGUCUGGGAUGUACCCAACUGUCUGUGAAGCAUUACUGAGAAAGCAGCUGUGGAGCGAUACCGUAGAGUACAAACUAACGCUGGACUCCUUAUCCAUUUACCAAACAUACCUGUCAAACUGGGUCAGAAAAUGACCCAUUUCAACUCAAAUUCUGAGACUGUACAGCCAUAUAAGCAUAUUAUAUUUAUCCAGAGGUAUAGGUAGGUUUAGUUUGUGUGUACAAUAAUUCUGAUGCAACAGCUCUGAAUUAUACACACUAUAUUGUGCAUACUUUUCUUUAACCUAUUAUGUCAUUUGGUGUCCUUGCUCUUUGGAGAAUGUAUAUGGAACAAGACAUAUGUAUGUUGAUUUUGUUUUGUUGUGCUUUGUUAGUUCCAGCCUCACAGAUGCAUUGGAAGUAUACGCUAGGGGAGAGGGCUUGGUGGCGCCCCAGUUUUUAACCUCUCAGACGUGGAGAAUUAAGGCACACAUGCAAAGGUUUACGUUCAUACUGUUUUCUAACCACCCUACUACAUUUAAUACCAAGUUCCCACAAAAUAUUUUGCAAUUUAGGCUCACAUGCCAAAGUGUACAGUCUGUCCUGAGGUUAUCGUCAAGGUGAUUCC